GAGAGCCGGUGGCCCUCACUCCGAAUUUCAGGGCCGGAGUCCCAGCGGCCCACCUGAACUCCCUCGGCUGGAGCACGAGCCCGGGGCUGCUGGCUCCUCCUGCCCUGGGGUCGGCUGACUUUUAUAAAGAUUCUCCUCGGGACAGAGGUUUUGGUCUCAGGACUGCAAAACCACGGUCUGUGGGGCAACAGUCUCGGCGCAGCAUCCAAUCCAGGAAGCACUUUUGGCCUUCCUUUCCUGCUCAGUAGUCGUUGCCAAACAGCACUGCUCAAAGCAGUGCCUGGGCGAUCCGGGCCUCUCACAUUUCAAGGCCUGGGCAGCCUUGCGUUUGCUUGGAAAGGCAGCCGUGGCCACCCAAGCGAAGGCCACAGCCGUCUGCUAUCACGCUGCUGAGUCAACACAAACGAGCAGCGGCGACGGGAGCCAGCCAGCGCCUGCCCCGUCCGCGCCCGGCCGGAGACCGAUUCAGCAAAGCCGCCAGGCCCCGGUGCCCGCUUCCGUCCGCCGCCCCGCCUCAAGCCCGUCACCCAGGACCCCGCGAUUUCCCGCCCUCCGAGCCGACCCCCCCGCACCCCUGCAUUAACCGUGUGCACCCUCCGUUCCGUUCGGCGCCUGCGCCCCGGUCGCCCGAGCUCCUCCUCAGGGCUUCAACUUUGCCCGCCUGCUGGUCUCACUCGCGCUCGGUCCAACCUCGCAUUCGGCGGCCCGCGGGGAGGUCUUCCACGGGCCUCGGUUCUUGAUGUGGUAAGAUGAUCAAAAAUCAUGAAGACCCUGGAACCUGAGGCUCUCGCCGUGUAUUUAGAGUAGUCCACUUUUCUUUCUGCACACACUUUUACGCUGCUUCUAUCAGCACAUCGUAGAAACUUGUCUAACCAUUCUGUCGGACUGCUAGAAAGUGCUAGUCGUCUUUGAUUUCUGUUGCCUGCUGUCCCAAUGUUCAUUUACAUUCUUGAAUUCCCCUCCCUCUCCCCCGAAGGCAGGGGGGAAAGUACCAACAUUUUAAUUUGAUGAUGAAUGCGGUGCUUUCUGAAAUACAUUCAGAGAAUGAAGUCCAUCAGGCCAGGUCUCCUCUAAAACGCUAACAUGUUACGGUUUACACCUCCUAGUCCCCCAGCUUCACGUGCUCGUAGCUUGGGCUUUGGGGAGG
rnacentral:lncRNA from 1 species